UACGUAGGGUGCAAGCGUUGUUCGGAGUUACUGGGCGUAAAGGGUGCGUAGGCGGCUUCCUAAGUUUGAUGUGAAAUCCCGGGGCUCAACCCUGGAAUUGCAUUGAAUACUGGGAGGCUAGAGUACUGGAGAGGAAACUGGAAUUUUACGGUGUAGCAGUGAAAUGCGUAGAGAUCGUAAGGAAGACCAGUGGCGAAGGCGAGUUUCUGGACAGUAACUGACGCUGAGGCACGAAGGCCAGGGGAGCAAACGGG
rnacentral:rRNA from 1 species